GAUUUUGUAGGAUAAUGAUAUGAUGGGAGGGGGAUGUGUGAGGGCACAUUGUGAUGUUGUUAAGCCGCAGCUCAAGGCCGCCUGUCAUAACAAGAUGCAGAAACCCAAUGCGAACGAACUGUGAGGUUGAGGCAUUUGGCCAAAUAGUGAAGUGAUUUGAUAAAUUGAAACGGAAAUGGGAUUUUAGCAGUUCCCCAGGGGAUGAGAAUCGAUCCCAUGAUCACCUGGAACCGGGAUGAAAGCUCUAACCAACUGAUCCAUUCCUCACUCUCACUGUCUAGUAAAUAGUAAUGGUAUUGCUCUUACCAUCCUAAAGGGACGAGGGAUAUGCUGCCUCGUUGAAGCUUAGCUAGCCUGUGAGGUAUUUUCAUUAUUCAGGAUGUCGGGUUUAUUUGGACAUGAUACUGUCUGUGUCUAAUCACGACUCCUCAACCCACUCAUCAUACCCAAAGCUUUGAUGACCACAACACUGUCAUGAUUAGACCUGGUUAUCGGGCGGGGCGGGUCAGGGUCGGUGCGGGUCAAAAGAGGGUCGGGUAUUGAAAUGGUCAUUUUUAGCGGGUCGAUAAUGGGCGGGUCAAAAGCGGGUCGCGGGUCAAUAGCGGGUCAUUAGUGGGCGGGUCAAUAAACGAGCAAUGAAAAAUGAAAAACAAAAGAGCCAUGUGCAAGUACAAGUAAAUACGAAGCUAUACACGUAAGUUUUUGUAUCAUUACUAUUUUAAUUUUCAAAAUAAUUGUAGUAUAAGUUUGACCCUAUAAUGACCCUGUCCAAUAAAGGUCAUGUCCAAUAAGAGCCCUGCCCAAUAAAUGCCCUAUUAACUUGACCCUAACCCUAUAUCCAUUUGACUACCCUGUCCAAUAACCAGGUCUAGUCAUGAUCCAUGGAUUGACAAUCUUCUGAGUUCUGAACGCCCUACCCUGGCCAGCGGUAACAAUCUAUUUCUUGUGUUUAGUUUAGUAGGUAAGAUUCAUCUGAAAUAAUAGAUGUACAGUUGCUAUCAUGUAAUCGUGUUACUCCCUCCGUCCCAAAAUUAUUGUCCUGUUUUCUAAAUCGGGCGUCUCAAAAUUAUAGUCCUAUUUUUAAUUUUGGCUAUUAAGGUCCUCACUUUCCCAUGUACUAUAUUAAUUAAAAAUACAUUGAAAACCCCACACAUGUACUAUAUCCUUUUUCCCGUGUACUAUAUUCUCUUUUCCAUGCACUUUAUUCCAUUUUUCCAUGCAACUCAAUCAUCAUUUGUACUUUAUUCCACUUUUCUAUGAACUAUAUUCCAUUUUUCUUAAAAUCCGUGUUUUUUGUCAAACGGGACUAUAAUUAUGGGACGGAGGGAGUAGUAGAUAAUAAAUCGUCCAUGCAAGUAUGUAGUAAAUGUAAGUGUUGAAUGUCAACACCAUCCAUGUAGAUUGUAGAUUGUAGAUUGUUAAUUUCUAGUUCCGUCUUACAUGAACAUGUUACUUUUAGUACAGCCCAAAACCCAAGCAUAGACCUGGCCCAGUGGGCCUAACUAAGAGUUAUUAGCUUAUGAGAACGAUGCCCCGCUUUGCAUACUCUUAACACGUCCAAAUUCUCAUAACUCACCAAUCAAGGCCACCCCCUUCUUUUUAAAGGCAAGGGAGAAACUCCCUGACCAAACUGGCAAACUGUAACCCUCAC